AGAGUUUGAUCCUGGCUCAGGAUGAACGCUAGCGACAGGCUUAACACAUGCAAGUCGAGGGGCAGCGGUGGUGAAGGCUUGCCUUUACCAGCCGGCGACCGGCGCACGGGUGAGUAACACGUAUGCAACCUGCCUGCCACAGCCGGAUAAUCGGGAGAAAUUCCGUCUAAUACGGCAUAAUGCAUCGACGGGACAUCCUGUUGGUGCCAAAGGUUGAUUCCGGUGGCGGAUGGGCAUGCGUCGCAUUAGUUAGUUGGCGGUGUAACGGACCACCAAGACGACGAUGCGUAGGGGUUCUGAGAGGAAGGUCCCCCACACUGGUACUGAGACACGGACCAGACCCCUACGGGAGGCAGCAGUGAGGAAUAUUGGUCAAUGGGCGGGAGCCUGAACCAGCCAAGUCGCGUGAGGGAUGACGGCCCUAUGGGUUGUAAACCUCUUUUGCCGGGGAGCAAAGUGCCGCACGUGUGCGGUUUGGAGAGUACCCGGAGAAAAAGCAUCGGCUAACUCCGUGCCAGCAGCCGCGGUAAUACGGAGGAUGCGAGCGUUAUCCGGAUUUAUUGGGUUUAAAGGGUGCGUAGGCGGACGCUUAAGUCAGCGGUAAAAUUGCGGGGCUCAACCUCGUCGAGCCGUUGAAACUGGGUGCCUUGAGUGGGCGAGAAGUACGCGGAAUGCGUGGUGUAGCGGUGAAAUGCAUAGAUAUCACGCAGAACUCCGAUUGCGAAGGCAGCGUACCGGCGCCCAACUGACGCUGAAGCACGAAGGCGUGGGUAUCGAACAGGAUUAGAUACCCUGGUAGUCCACGCAGUAAACGAUGAAUGCUAGUUGUCCGGGGCGAUUGAGUUCUGGGUGACACAGCGAAAGCGUUAAGCAUUCCACCUGGGGAGUACGCCGGCAACGGUGAAACUCAAAGGAAUUGACGGGGGCCCGCACAAGCGGAGGAACAUGUGGUUUAAUUCGAUGAUACGCGAGGAACCUUACCCGGGCUCAAACGCAGGAGGGAUGUUUUUGAAAGGAGGCAGCCAGCAAUGGUCUCCUGCGAGGUGCUGCAUGGUUGUCGUCAGCUCGUGCCGUGAGGUGUCGGCUUAAGUGCCAUAACGAGCGCAACCCCUACCUACAGUUGCCAUCGCGUGAUGGCGGGCACUCUGUGGGGACUGCCUGCGCAAGCAGUGAGGAAGGCGGGGAUGACGUCAAAUCAGCACGGCCCUUACGUCCGGGGCGACACACGUGUUACAAUGGCAGGUACAGCGGGAAGCCACCCGGCGACGGGGCGCGGAACCCGAAAACCUGUCUCAGUUCGGAUUGGAGUCUGCAACCCGACUCCAUGAAGCUGGAUUCGCUAGUAAUCGCGCAUCAGCCACGGCGCGGUGAAUACGUUCCCGGGCCUUGUACACACCGCCCGUCA
rnacentral:rRNA from 1 species